rnacentral:rRNA from 1 species
UUUGAUCCUGGCUCAGGAUGAACGCUGGCGGCGUGCUUAACACAUGCAAGUCGAACGAUGAAGCCCAGCUUGCUGGGUGGAUUAGUGGCGAACGGGUGAGUAACACGUGAGUAACCUGCCCUUAACUCUGGGAUAAGCCUGGGAAACUGGGUCUAAUACCGGAUAGGAGCGUCCACCGCAUGGUGGGUGUUGGAAAGAUUUAUCGGUUUUGGAUGGACUCGCGGCCUAUCAGCUUGUUGGUGAGGUAAUGGCUCACCAAGGCGACGACGGGUAGCCGGCCUGAGAGGGUGACCGGCCACACUGGGACUGAGACACGGCCCAGACUCCUACGGGAGGCAGCAGUGGGGAAUAUUGCACAAUGGGCGAAAGCCUGAUGCAGCGACGCCGCGUGAGGGAUGACGGCCUUCGGGUUGUAAACCUCUUUCAGUAGGGAAGAAGCGAAAGUGACGGUACCUGCAGAAGAAGCACCGGCUAACUACGUGCCAGCAGCCGCGGUAAUACGUAGGGUGCGAGCGUUAUCCGGAAUUAUUGGGCGUAAAGAGCUCGUAGGCGGUUUGUCGCGUCUGUCGUGAAAGUCCGGGGCUUAACCCCGGAUCUGCGGUGGGUACGGGCAGACUAGAGUGCAGUAGGGGAGACUGGAAUUCCUGGUGUAGCGGUGGAAUGCGCAGAUAUCAGGAGGAACACCGAGA